rnacentral:misc_RNA from 1 species
GAUGAAGAACGUAGCGAAAUGCGAUACGUAAUGUGAAUUGCAGAAUUCAGUGAAUCAUCGAAUCUUUGAACGCACAUUGCGCCCGCCAGCACUCUGGCGGGCAUGCCUGUUCGAGCGUCAUUUCAACCAUCAAGCCCCAGGCUUGCGUUGGAGCCCUGCGGCUGCCGCAGCCUCCUAAAAGCAGUGGCGGGCUCGCUGUCACACCGAGCGUAGUAGCAUACAUCUCGCUCUGGGCGUGCUGCGGGUUCCGGCCGUUAAACCACCUUCAUAACCCAAGGUUGACCUCGGAUCAGGUAGGAAGACCCGCUGAACUUAAGCAUAUCAAUAAGCGGAGGA